UACGAAGGGGGCUAGCGUUGCUCGGAAUCACUGGGCGUAAAGCGCACGUAGGCGGAUUGCUAAGUCAGGGGUGAAAUCCUGGAGCUCAACUCCAGAACUGCCUUUGAUACUGGUAGUCUCGAGUCCGGAAGAGGAGAAUGGAAUUCCCGGUGUAGCGGUGAAAUGCGCAGAUAUCGGGAAGAACACCCGUGGCGAAGGCGGUCUCUGGGACGGUACUGACGCUGAGCACGCGAAAGCGUGGGGAGCGAACAGG
rnacentral:rRNA from 1 species